AUAAAAGUGUGUUUUAAGAAGGUCUGCUGCGUUUUCAACAAGUUGGAGGAGAGAGAGGAUUUAUUGUCAAGACCGGAGAGGAGGGAGUUGCAGUAGUCGAGUCUGGA